rnacentral:snRNA from 1 species
GGUGUGAGAGUGAUCUGACCUCGACAUGUAUGUCACCCUGCAAUUAUCAGCGUUGAUUAAGCUUAGCUGGCCAGCUGGCCUUGUACCCUAUUCUUCCCCCAAAGGUCCUUGCACAUUUCCUCCCAACCUGCACACUUGGCUUGAGAAGGUGUAUUUCCACAGAGAAAAUAAGUAACUGUUGAUAAGAGACAUAAAUGAGCAGAGCUCUCCAGCUACACGCUUGAAACAAGUUUACGGGUUCCACUCAUAGCUGUAUGCAACUGCAUAAAAAGUGGUAGUUCUUUGAUUUACACUUGUUAAAU